rnacentral:rRNA from 1 species
GACGAACGCUGGUGGCGUGCUUAACACAUGCAAGUCGAACGGGAUUUAGUAAACAGAAGCCUCGGUGGAAGAUUACUAAUGAGAGUGGCGAACGGGUGAGUAACGCGUGAGCAACCUGCCUAUGACAGUGGGAUAGCCUCGGGAAACCGGGAUUAAUACCGCAUAAAAUCGUAGAAACACAUGUUUUAACGGUCAAAGAUUUAUCGGUUAUAGAUGGGCUCGCGUCUGAUUAGCUAGUUGGUGAGAUAACAGCCCACCAAGGCGACGAUCAGUAGCCGGUCUGAGAGGAUGAACGGCCACAUUGGAACUGAGACACGGUCCAAACUCCUACGGGAGGCAGCAGUGGGGAAUAUUGCACAAUGGGGGAAACCCUGAUGCAGCGACGCCGCGUGAACGAAGAAGGUAUUCGUAUCGUAAAGUUCUGUCCUAUGGGAAGAUAAUGACAGUACCAUAGAAGAAAGCUCCGGCUAAAUACGUG